rnacentral:rRNA from 1 species
UACGGAGGGGGCUAGCGUUGUUCGGAAUUACUGGGCGUAAAGCGCACGUAGGCGGAUAUUUAAGUCAGGGGUGAAAUCCCGGGGCUCAACCCCGGAACUGCCUUUGAUACUGGGUAUCUUGAGUAUGGUAGAGGUGAGUGGAAUUCCGAGUGUAGAGGUGAAAUUCGUAGAUAUUCGGAGGAACACCAGUGGCGAAGGCGGCUCACUGGACCAUUACUGACGCUGAGGUGCGAAAGCGUGGGGAGCAAACAGG